CCUACGGGUGGCAGCAGUCAGGAAUAUUGGUCAAUGGACGAGAGUCUGAACCAGCCAAGUAGCGUGAAGGAUGACUGCCCUAUGGGUUGUAAACUUCUUUUAUAAAGGAAUAAAACGAGGCACGUGUGCCUUUUUGCAUGUACUUUAUUAAUAAGGAUCGGCUAACUCCGUGCCAGCAGCCGCGGUAAUACGGAGGGACCGGGCGUUAUCCGGAUUGAUUGGGUUUAAAGGGAGCGUAGAUGGGUUGUUAAGUCAGUUGUGAAAGUUUGCGGCUCAACCGUAAAAUUGCAAUUGAUACUGGCAGUCUUGAGUACAGUUGAGGUAGGCGGAAUUCGCGGUGUAGCGGUGAAAUGCUUAGAUAUCGCGAAGAACACCGAUUGCGAAGGCAGGUUACUAAACUGUGACUGACAUUGAUGCACGAAAGUGUGGGUAUCAAAAAGGAUUAGAUACCCCAGUAGUC
rnacentral:rRNA from 1 species